GCGGGUGUAGCUCAAUGGUAGAGCAGCUGCCUUCCAAGCUGAAUACGUGGGUUCGAUUCCCAUCACCCGCUCCA
rnacentral:tRNA from 1 species